GUGGGGAAUAUUGGACAAUGGGCGAAAGCCUGAUCCAGCCAUGCCGCGUGUGUGAAGAAGGUCUUCGGAUUGUAAAGCACUUUAAGUUGGGAGGAAGGGCAGUAAGUUAAUACCUUGCUGUUUUGACGUUACCGACAGAAUAAGCACCGGCUAACUUCGUGCCAGUAGCCGCGGUAAUACGAAGGGUGCAAGCGUUAAUCGGAAUUACUGGGCGUAAAGCGCGCGUAGGUGGUUCAGCAAGUUGGAGGUGAAAUCCCCGGGCUCAACCUGGGAACUGCCUCCAAAACUACUGAGCUAGAGUACGGUAGAGGGUAGUGGAAUUUCCUGUGUAGCGGUGAAAUGCGUAGAUAUAGGAAGGAACACCAGUGGCGAAGGCGACUACCUGGACUGAUACUGACACUGAGGUGCGAAAGCGUGGGGAGCAAACAGGAUUAGAAACCCCAGUAGUCC
rnacentral:rRNA from 1 species